GACGAACGCUGGCGGCGUGCUUAACACAUGCAAGUCGAACGGAAAGGCCCUGCUUUUGUGGGGUGCUCGAGUGGCGAACGGGUGAGUAACACGUGAGUAACCUGUCCUUGACUUUGGGAUAACUUCAGGAAACUGGGGCUAAUACCGGAUAGGAGCUCCUGCUGCAUGGUGGGGGUUGGAAAGUUUCGGCGGUUGGGGAUGGACUCGCGGCUUAUCAGCUUGUUGGUGGGGUAGUGGCUUACCAAGGCUUUGACGGGUAGCCGGCCUGAGAGGGUGACCGGCCACAUUGGGACUGAGAUACGGCCCAGACUCCUACGGGAGGCAGCAGUGGGGAAUAUUGCACAAUGGGCGGAAGCCUGAUGCAGCAACGCCGCGUGCGGGAUGACGGCCUUCGGGUUGUAAACCGCUUCCGCCUGUGACGAAGCGUGAGUGACGGUAAUGGGUAAAGAAGCACCGGCUAACUACGUGCCAGCAGCCGCGGUGAUACGUAGGGUGCGAGCGUUGUCCGGAUUUAUUGGGCGUAAAGGGCUCGUAGGUGGUUGAUCGCGUCGGAAGUGUAAUCUUGGGGCUUAACCCUGAGCGUGCUUUCGAUACGGGUUGACUUGAGGAAGGUAGGGGAGAAUGGAAUUCCUGGUGGAGCGGUGGAAUGCGCAGAUAUCAGGAGGAACACCAGUGGCGAAGGCGGUUCUCUGGGCCUUUCCUGACGCUGAGGAGCGAAAGCGUGGGGAGCGAACAGGCUUAGAUACCCUGGUAGUCCACGCUGUAAACGGUGGGUACUAGGUGUGGGGUCCAUUCCACGGGUUCCGUGCCGUAGCUAACGCUUUAAGUACCCCGCCUGGGGAGUACGGCCGCAAGGCUAAAACUCAAAGGAAUUGACGGGGCCCCGCACAAGCGGCGGAGCAUGCGGAUUAAUUCGAUGCAACGCGUAGAACCUUACCUGGGUUUGACAUGGAUCGGGAGCGCUCAGAGAUGGGUGUGCCUCUUUUGGGGUCGGUUCACAGGUGGUGCAUGGCUGUCGUCAGCUCGUGUCGUGAGAUGUUGGGUUAAGUCCCGCAACGAGCGCAACCCUUGUUCACUGUUGCCAGCACGUUAUGGUGGGGACUCAGUGGAGACCGCCGGGGUCAACUCGGAGGAAGGUGGGGAUGACGACAAGUCAUCAUGCCCCUUAUGUCCAGGGCUUCACGCAUGCUACAAUGGCUGGUACAGAGAGUGGCGAGCCUGUGAGGGUGAGCGAAUCUCGGAAAGCCGGUCUCAGUUCGGAUUGGGGUCUGCAACUCGACCUCAUGAAGUCGGAGUCGCUAGUAAUCGCAGAUCAGCAACGCUGCGGUGAAUACGUUCCCGGG
rnacentral:rRNA from 1 species